rnacentral:rRNA from 1 species
CCUACGGGCGGCAGCAGUGGGGAAUAUUGCACAAUGGGGGAAACCCUGAUGCAGCGACGCCGCGUGAGUGAAGAAGUAUUUCGGUAUGUAAAGCUCUAUCAGCAGGGAAGAAAUAGCGACCUUUGGGUCGCCAGACGGUACCUGAUUAAGAAGCCCCGGCUAUCUACGUGCCAGCAGCCGCGGUAAUACGUAGGGGGCACGCGUUAUCCGGAUUUACUGGGUGUAAAGGGAGCGUAGACGGCAGCGCAAGUAUGAAGGGAAAUGCCGGGGCUUAACCCCGGAACUGCUGUGGAAACUGUGCAGCUAGAGUGCAGGAGAGAUAAGUGGAAUUCCUAGUGUAGCGGUGAAAUGCGUAGAUAUUAGGAGGAACACCAGUGGCGAAGGCGGCUUACUGGACUGUAACUGACGUUGAGGCUCGAAAGCGUGGGGAGCAAACAGGAUUAGAUACCCUAGUAGUC